GACGAACCGUGCGAACGUUAUUCGGAAUCACUGGGCUUAAAGCGCGUGUAGGCGGCCCGGCACGUCAUCGGCUGAAAUCCCCCGGCUCAACCGGGGAAGGGGCCAUGAUACGACCGGGCUGGAGGGGGGUAGGGGGGACGGGAACUCACGGUGGAGCGGUGAAAUGCGUUGAGAUCGUGAGGAACGCCCGCGGCGAAAGCGCGUCCCUGGACCCCGCCUGACGCUGAGACGCGAAAGCCAGGGGAGCGAACGGG
rnacentral:rRNA from 1 species